UACGUAGGGUGCAAGCGUUGUCCGGAAUCAUUGGGCGUAAAGCGCGCGUAGGUGGCUUCGUAAGUCCGUUGUGAAAGUCAAAGGCUCAACCUUUGAAAGCCGAUGGAUACUGCGGAGCUAGAGUACGGAAGAGGCGAGUGGAAUUCCUGGUGUAGCGGUGGAAUGCGCAGAUAUCAGGAGGAACACCAAUAGCGAAGGCAGCUCGCUGGGACGGUACUGACGCUAAGGCGCGAAAAGCGUGGGGAGCGAACAGG
rnacentral:rRNA from 1 species